rnacentral:rRNA from 1 species
AGAGUUUGAUCCUGGCUCAGGACGAACGCUGGCGGCGUGCUUAACACAUGCAAGUCGAGCGAGGAAAUUCCUUCGGGGAUUUCCUAGCGGCGGACGGGUGAGUAACACGUGGGCAACCUGCCUGAUAGAGGGGGAUAGCCUCCCGAAAGGGAGAUUAAUACCGCAUAAAGUCAAAUGAAGGCAUCUUCAAAUGACCAAAGGAGUAAUCCGCUAUCAGAUGGGCCCGCGGCGCAUUAGCUAGUUGGUGAGGUAACGGCUCACCAAGGCGACGAUGCGUAGCCGACCUGAGAGGGUGAACGGCCACAUUGGGACUGAGACACGGCCCAGACUCCUACGGGAGGCAGCAGUGGGGGAUAUUGCACAAUGGAGGAAACUCUGAUGCAGCAACGCCGCGUGAGGGAAGAAGGUUUUCGGAUUGUAAACCUCUGUCCUCAGGGACGAUAAUGACGGUACCUGAGGAGGAAGCUCCGGCUAACUACGUGCCAGCAGCCGCGGUAAUACGUAGGGAGCAAGCGUUGUCCGGAUUUACUGGGUGUAAAGGGUGCGUAGGCGGCACUGCAAGUCAGGUGUGAAAACCAUGGGCUUAACUUAUGGAUUGCACUUGAAACUGUGGUGCUUGAGUGAAGUAGAGGCAGGCGGAAUUCCCGGUGUAGCGGUGAAAUGCGUAGAGAUCGGGAGGAACACCAGUGGCGAAAGGCGGCCUGCUGGGCUUUAACUGACGCUGAAGGCACGAAAGCAUGGGUAGCAAACAGGAUUAGAUACCCUGGUAGUCCAUGCCGUAAACGAUGAUUACUAGGUGGUGGGG